UCCUACGGGAGGCAGCAGUGAGGAAUAUUGGACAAUGGGCGCAAGCCUGAUCCAGCCAUGCCGCGUGCAGGAUGACGGUCCUAUGGAUUGUAAACUGCUUUUAUACGAGAAGAAACAUCCCGACGUGUCGGGACUUGACGGUAUCGUAAGAAUAAGGAUCGGCUA
rnacentral:rRNA from 1 species